UACGUAGGGGGCUAGCGUUGUCCGGAUUUAUUGGGCGUAAAGAGCGUGUAGGCGGCCAGGUAGGUCUGCUGUGAAAACUCGAGGCUCAACCUCGAGACGCCGGUGGAAACCGUAAGGCUAGAGUCCGGAAGAGGAGAGUGGAAUUCCUGGUGUAGCGGUGGAAUGCGCAGAUAUCAGGAAGAACACCAACGGCGAAGGCAGCUCGCUGGGACGGUACUGACGCUGAGACGCGAAAGCGUGGGGAGCGAACAGG
rnacentral:rRNA from 1 species